CUUCCAUGCAGAUCGACGGCAGCGCGGGGCAACCUGGCGGCGAGUGGCGAACGGGUGAGUCNUAUAUCGGAACGUACCCUGGAGUGGGGGAUAACGUAGCGAAAGUUACGCUAAUACCGCAUACGAUCUAAGGAUGAAAGUGGGGGAUUCGCAAGAACCUCAUGCUCCUGGAGCGGCCGAUAUCUGAUUAGCUAGUUGGUGGGGUAAAGGCCUACCAAGGCAUCGAUCAGUAGCUGGUCUGAGAGGACGACCAGCCACACUGGAACUGAGACACGGUCCAGACUCCUACGGGAGGCAGCAGUGGGGAAUUUUGGACAAUGGGCGAAAGCCUGAUCCAGCAAUGCCGCGUGAGUGAAGAAGGCCUUCGGGUUGUAAAGCUCUUUUGUCAGGGAAGAAACGGUGAGAGCUAAUAUCUCUUGCUAAUGACGGUACCUGAAGAAUAAGCACCGGCUAACUACGUGCCAGCAGCCGCGGUAAUACGUAGGGUGCAAGCGUUAAUCGGAAUUACUGGGCGUAAAGCGUGCGCAGGCGGUUUUGUAAGUUUGUCGUGAAAGCCCCGGGCUCAACCUGGGAAUUGCGAUGAAGACUGCAAGGCUUGAAUCUGGCAGAGGGGGGUAGAAUUCCACGUGUAGCAGUGAAAUGCGUAGAGAUGUGGAGGAACACCGAUGGCGAAGGCAGCCCCCUGGGUCAAGAUUGACGCUCAUGCACGAAAGCGUGGGGAGCAAACAGGAUUAGAUACCCUGGUAGUCCACGCCCUAAACGAUGUCUACUAGUUGUCGGGUUUUAAUUANCUUGGUAACGCAGCUAACGCGUGAAGUAGACCGCCUGGGGAGUACGGUCGCAAGAUUAAAACUCAAAGAAUUGACGGGGNACCCGCACAAGCGUGGAUGAUGUGGAUUAAAUUCGAUGCACGCGAAAAACCUUACCUACCCUGACAUGU
rnacentral:rRNA from 1 species